rnacentral:sRNA from 1 species
CCCGCCCGCUCCCGCGAUCGUGAAUCCUCUGCGAAUUUUCGGCCGAUUUUUCGCAGACGAUUC